GAUGAACGCUGGCGGCGUGCCUAAUACAUGCAAGUCGAGCGAACGGACGCGAAGCUUGCUUCUCUGAUGUUAGCGGCGGACGGGUGAGUAACACGUGGAUAACCUACCUAUAAGACUGGGAUAACUUCGGGAAACCGGAGCUAAUACCGGAUAAUAUUUUGAACCGCAUGGUUCAAAAGUGAAAGACGGUCUUGCUGUCACUUAUAGAUGGAUCCGCGCUGCAUUAGCUAGUUGGUAAGGUAACGGCUUACCAAGGCAACGAUGCAUAGCCGACCUGUGAGGGUGAUCGGCCACACGGGAACUGAGACACGGUCCAGACUCCUACGGGAGGCAGCAGUAGGGAAUCUUCCGCAAUGGGCGAAAGCCUGACGGAGCAACGCCGCGUGAGUGAUGAAGGUCUUCGGAUCGUAAAACUCUGUUAUUAGGGAAGAACAUAUGUGUAAGUAACUGUGCACAUCUUGACGGUACCUAAUCAGAAAGCCACGGCUAACUACGUG
rnacentral:rRNA from 1 species